rnacentral:rRNA from 1 species
AUAACGACUCUCGGCAACGGAUAUCUUGGCUCUCGCAUCGAUGAAGAACGUAGCGAAAUGCGAUACUUGGUGUGAAUUGCAGAAUCCCGUGAACCAUCGAGUCUUUGAACGCAAGUUGCGCCCGAAGCCUUUAGGCCGAGGGCACGUCUGCCUGGGCGUCACGC